rnacentral:rRNA from 1 species
UUCCGUAGGUGAACCUGAACCUGCGGAAGGAUCAUUACAGUAUUCUUUUGCCAGCGCUUAACUGCGCGGCGAAAAACCUUACACACAGUGUCUUUUUGAUACAGAACUCUUGCUUUGGUUUGGCCUAGAGAUAGGUUGGGCCAGAGGUUUAACAAAACACAAUUUAAUUAUUUUUACAGUUAGUCAAAUUUUGAAUUAAUCUUCAAAACUUUCAACAACGGAUCUCUUGGUUCUCGCAUCGAUGAAGAACGCAGCGAAAUGCGAUAAGUAAUAUGAAUUGCAGAUUUUCGUGAAUCAUCGAAUCUUUGAACGCACAUUGCGCCCUCUGGUAUUCCAGAGGGCAUGCCUGUUUGAGCGUCAUUUCUCUCUCAAACCCCCGGGUUUGGUAUUGAGUGAUACUGUUAGUCGGACUAGGCGUUUGCUUGAAAAGUAUUGGCAUGGGUAGUACUAGAUAGUGCUGUCGACCUCUCAAUGUAUUAGGUUUAUCCAACUCGUUGAAUGGUGUGGCGGGAUAUUUCUGGUAUUGUCGGCCCGGCCUUACAACCAACCU